rnacentral:rRNA from 1 species
GAUGAACGCUGGCGGCGUGCCUAAUACAUGCAAGUCGAGCGAACAGACGAGGAGCUUGCUCCUCUGACGUUAGCGGCGGACGGGUGAGUAACACGUGGAUAACCUACCUAUAAGACUGGGAUAACUUCGGGAAACCGGAGCUAGUACCGGAUAAUAUAUUGAACCGCAUGGUUCAAUGGUGAAAGACGGUUUUGCUGUCACUUAUAGAUGGAUCCGCGCCGCAUUAGCUAGUUGGUAAGGUAACGGCUUACCAAGGCAACGAUGCGUAGCCGACCUGAGAGGGUGAUCGGCCACACUGGAGCUGAGACACGGUCCAGACUCCUACGGGAGGCAGCAGUAGGGAAUCUUCCGCAAUGGGCGAAAGCCUGACGGAGCAACGCCGCGUGAGUGCUGAAGGUCUUCGGAUCUUAAAACUCUGUUAUUAGGGAAGAACAAAUGUGUAAGUAACUAUGCACGUCUUGACGGUACCUAAUCAGAAAGCCACGGCUAACUACGUG